rnacentral:rRNA from 1 species
UACGGAGGGAGCUAGCGUUGUUCGGAAUUACUGGGCGUAAAGCGCGCGUAGGCGGCUUUGUAAGUUAGAGGUGAAAGCCCGGAGCUCAACUCCGGAACUGCCUUUAAAACUGCAUCGCUUGAAUCCAGGAGAGGUGAGUGGAAGUUCCAGUGUAGAGGUGAAAGUUCGUAGAUAUUCGGAAGAACACCACGUGGCGGAAGGGACGGGCCUGCACCAUGGAGCCCGUGUAACUUGACGCCUGGAGGGCACGGAACGCAAA